rnacentral:rRNA from 1 species
GCUAAUACCGGAUGCUUGAUUGAACCGCAUGGUUACAAUCAUAAAUGUGGCCUUUUAGCUACCACUUACAGAUGGACCCGCGGCGCAUUAGUCUAGUUGGUGAGGUAACGGCUCACCAAGGCGACGAUGCGUAGCCGACUUGAGAGGGUGAUCGGCCACACUGGGACUGAGACACGGCCCAGACUCCUACGGGAGGCAGCAGUAGGGAAUCUUCCGCAAUGGACGAAAGUCUGACGGAGCAACGCCGCGUGAGUGAUGAAGGUUUGCGGAUCGUAAAACUCUGUUGUUAGGGAAGAACAAGUACCGUUCGAAUAGGGCGGCACCUUGACGGUACCUAACCAGAAAGCCACGGCUAACUACGUGCCAGCAGCCGCGGUAAUACGUAGGUGGCAAGCGUUGUCCGGAAUUAUUGGGCGUAAAGCGCGCGCAGGCGGUUUCUUAAGUCUGAUGUGAAAGCCCCCGGCUCAACCGGGGAGGGUCAUUGGAAACUGGGGAACUUGAGUGCAGAAGAGGAGAGUGGAAUUCCACGUGUAGCGGUGAAAUGCGUAGAGAUGUGGAGGAACACCAGUGGCGAAGG